UUUUAUGUUUCAUCUAAACAAGGCCAUCUUCAACAACCUGCCCGUCCCCUUCCUCCUCUCAUGGCAAGGAAUUCAACAGAGGAGGAGCUCAUGGCAAGACGGCGUGUAUGGUACAAACUGCCCGAUCCCUCCGGGUGGCAAUUUCACUUACAACAUGCAAUAGGACCAAAUUGGGAGCUACUACUACUUCCCUUCCCUUUUAUUCCACAAGGCAGCCGGUGGUUAUGGUGGCAUCAGGGUUCUUAGCAGACCAAGGAUCCCGGUUCCAUUUGACCCCCUGCCGGUGAUUUUCACCAUAUUGGCCGGUGACUGGUUCAAACUCAAUCACACUGACUUGAAAGGCAUUUUAGACAGUGGAAAUGACCUGUCAUUCCCUGAUGGGCUUCUUAUUAAUGGACAAGGCUCGAAUGGCAAUAGAUUUACACAGUCAAUGGUGAAUAUUUGUUGGCAUAUUUGUAUCUUUUUAUAAUUGAAUCUUUAGCUCAGACUGCUGGUAUCCAGUUGGAUGAUUGAUUUGCAUUAUAAUUUGUUCUUGUAUA